rnacentral:rRNA from 1 species
CAUACCUAUUCGAAGGGAUAGGGUCGGUUCGGCCGGAUUUCACACAGGUGUUGCAUGGCUGUCGUCAGCUCGUGUCGUGAGAUGUUGGGUUAAGUCCCGCAACGAGCGUAACCCUCAUCCUUAGUUACCAUCGGGUAAUGCUGGGGACUUUAAGGAAACUGCUAGUGAUAAACUGGAGGAAGGUGGGGAUGAUGUCAAGUCAUCAUGGCCUUUAUGGAGUGGGCUACACACGUGCUACAAUGGUGGCUACAAUGGGCUGCAAAGUCGCGAGGCUAAGCUAAUCUCUUAAAAGCCAUCUCAGUUCGGAUUGUACUCUGCAACUCGAGUGCAUGAAGUUGGAAUCGCUAGUAAUCGUGGAUUAGCAUGCCACGGUGAAUACGUUCUCGGGUCUUGUACACACUGCCCGUCACGCCAUGGGAAUUG